AAGGAUCUUCGGGGUAGGGUGAAAUUCCCGACCGGCGGUAAUGGUUUGCGACGCAAAUCUAGCCCGCGACUCUCGCAUCGUUCGUCAUGAACGAUCGGGACUGAUCUGGUGCGAUUCCAGAGCCGACGGUACAGUCCGGAUGGGAGAAGAUCAAG
rnacentral:ncRNA from 2 species